UUACGUCUUCGGGGCGGGGUGCAACUCCCCACCGGCGGUAUGGCGCGCAAGCGCCGAGCCCGCGAGCGCCUUUGCCUGACGGCAAAGGGUCAGCAGAUCUGGUGAAACGCCAGAGCCGACGGUAAUAGUCCGGAUGAGAGAAGACGACG
rnacentral:ncRNA from 21 species